rnacentral:rRNA from 1 species
AUUGAACGCUGGCGGCAUGCCUUACACAUGCAAGUCGAACGGCAGCACGGGAGCAAUCCUGGUGGCGAGUGGCGAACGGGUGAGUAAUACAUCGGAACGUGCCCAGUAGUGGGGGAUAGCCCGGCGAAAGCCGGAUUAAUACAGCAUGAGACCUGAGGGUGAAAGCGGGGGAUCGCAAGACCUCGCGCUAUUGGAGCGGCCGAUGUCAGAUUAGCUAGUUGGUAGGGUAAAGGCCUACCAAGGCAACGAUCUGUAGUUGGUCUGAGAGGACGACCAGCCACACUGGGACUGAGACACGGCCCAGACUCCUACGGGAGGCAGCAGUGGGGAAUUUUGGACAAUGGGCGCAAGCCUGAUCCAGCAAUGCCGCGUGCAGGAAGAAGGCCUUCGGGUUGUAAACUGCUUUUGUCAGGGAAGAAAUCUUCUGGGCUAAUACCCUGGGAGGAUGACGGUACCUGAAGAAUAAGCACCGGCUAACUACGUGCCAGCCGCCGCGGUAAAAC